rnacentral:rRNA from 1 species
UACGUAGGGUGCAAGCGUUUGUCCGGAAUUAUUGGGCGUAAAGAGCUCGUAGGCGGUUUGUCGCGUCUGCUGUGAAAACCCGAGGCUCAACCUCGGGCCUGCAGUGGGUACGGGCAAACUAGAGUGCGGUAGGGGAGAAUGGAAUUCCUGGUGUAGCGGUGGAAUGCGCAGAUAUCAGGAGGAACACCGGUGGCGAAGGCGGUUCUCUGGGCAUGUUCUGACGCUGAGGAGCGAAAGUGUGGGGAGCGAACAGG